rnacentral:rRNA from 1 species
UUAGAGAGUGCUUCGGGCGAGACCUCGGUCUAAGUCCAUUGGAACAUGGUGUCAUAGAGGGUGAGAAUCCCGUAUGCGACCGUGGCUCGAGCCCAUGUGAAGCCUCUUCGACGAGUCGAGUUGUUUGGGAAUGCAGCUCAAAAUGGGUGGUAAAUUUCAUCUAAAGCUAAAUACUGGCUGGAGACCGAUAGCGCACAAGUAGAGUGAUCGAAAGAUGAAAAGCACUUUGGAAAGAGAGUCAAACAGUACGUGAAAUUGUUGAAAGGGAAGCGCUUGCAACCAGACCUGCCCGUAGGCGAUCAGCCGCUGUUCUCAGCGGUGUACUCGCUCUGCGAUCAGGCCAGCAUCGGUUUCGGCGGUCGGAUAAAGGCCUUGGGAAUGUAGCUUCCCUUCGGGGGAGUCUUAUAGCCCUCGGUGCAAUGCGGCCAGCCGGGACCGAGGACCGCGCUCCGGCUAGGAUGCUGGCGUAAUGGUUGUAAGCGACCCGUCUUGAAACACGGACCAAGGAGUCUAACAUCUAUGCGAGUGUUUGGGUGUCAAACCCAUACGCGGAAUGAAAGUGAACGGAGGUGAGAACCCUCAAGGGCGCAUCAUCGACCGAUCCAGAUGUCUUCGGAUGGAUUUGAGUAUGAGCAUAGCUGUUGGGACCCGAAAGAUGGUGAACUAUGCCUGAAUAGGGUGAAGCCAGAGGAAACUCUGGUGGAGGCUCGCAGCGGUUCUGACGUGCAAAUCGAUCGUCAAAUUUGGGUAUAGGGGCGAAAGACUAAUC